UCAGGUUGUCAUUAUUAAUCGUAAUGCUUCUUAUUAUUCCAGUCAAUGUACGAAUAUCUGAGAACGAAGAGGGAUCGGAAGAUUUAAAGUUCUUAAAUAUGACAAGACAUUCAAUGCGUCAAGCCGGUGAUUACUUUCCCAUCGAGAUGUGAACGGAAUUUCACCCCGUAUGAAAAACUUCAAAAACCCAUUGGCCACCCAUAACACAAUGACCUUUUUGCUGUACUUAAAUUUUUGGAAUUGGAAGCGGGAAGUUAACUAAGUGAUGGGAAAAAAUUUGAUAUUUCAAUAUCUCAGUUGAGUGCUUCGAGGGCAGUAAAAGAAGUCACCAUGAAAAUGUUACAAGUGCUCGAAAUAGUUUGAUUCAAACUUGCUUCAAUUAAUACCUUUUGUAGCAUUGAUAAAUAAUAUAAUAUAAGAACUACCUGAG